rnacentral:rRNA from 1 species
UACGAAGGGGGCUAGCGUUGUUCGGAAUCACUGGGCGUAAAGCGCACGUAGGCGGAUUGUUAAGUCAGGGGUGAAAUCCUGGAGCUCAACUCCAGAACUGCCUUUGAUACUGAGGAGCUUGAGUCCGGGAGAGGUGAGUGGAACUGCGAGUGUAGAGGUGAAAUUCGUAGAUAUUCGCAAGAACACCAGUGGCGAAGGCGGCUCACUGGCCCGGUACUGACGCUGAGGUGCGAAAGCGUGGGGAGCAAACAGG